rnacentral:rRNA from 1 species
GACGAACGCUGGCGGCGUGCCUAAUACAUGCCAGUCGAGCGAAGUUUUUCUGGUGCUUGCACUAGAAAAACUUAGCGGCGAACGGGUGAGUAACACGUAAAGAACCUGCCUCAUAGACUGGGACAACUAUUGGAAACGAUAGCUAAUACCGGAUAACAGUAUUUCUCGCAUGAGAGAUAUUUAAAAGUUGGUUAUGCUAACACUAUGAGAUGGCUUUGCGGUGCAUUAGCUAGUUGGUGGGGUAAAGGCCCACCAAGGCGACGAUGCAUAGCCGACCUGAGAGGGUGAUCGGCCACACUGGGACUGAGACACGGCCCAGACUCCUACGGGAGGCAGCAGUAGGGAAUCUUCCGCAAUGGGCGAAAGCCCGACGGAGCAACGCCGCGUGAGUGAAGAAGGAUUUCGGUUCGUAAAGCUCUGUUGUUAGGGAAGAAUGGAUAUGUAGUAACUAUACAUGUAAGAGACGGUACCUAACCAGAAAGCCACGGCUAACUACGUG